rnacentral:rRNA from 1 species
GACGAACGCUGGCGGCGCGCUUAACACAUGCAAGUCGAACGGAAAGGCCUGCUUUCCCUUGUGGAUUGCGGGUACUCGAGUGGCGAACGGGUGAGUAACACGUGAGUGAUCUGCCCCCAACUUGGGUAUAAGCCUGGGAAACUGGGUCUAAUUCCCGAUAGGACUGCAGGGUGGUGCCUGUGGUGGAAAACGAUUUUCUAGUGGUUGGGGAUGAGCUCGCGGCCUAUCAGCUUGUUGGUGGGGUAAUGGCCUACCAAGGCGGCGACGGGUAGCCGGCCUGAGAGGGUGGACGGCAACAUUGGGACUGAGAUACGGCCCAGACUCCUACGGGAGGAAGCAGUGGGGAAUAUGGAACAAGGGGCGGAAGCCUGAUGCAGCGACGCCGCGGGGGGGAUGACGGCCUUCGGGUUGUAAACUCCUUUCGACCGCGAGGAAGCCACCUGGUUGGAAGGGUGGUGACGGUAGUGGUAGAAGAAGCACCGGCUAACUACGUG